rnacentral:rRNA from 1 species
AUUGAACGCUAGCGGGAUGCCUUACACAUGCAAGUCGAACGGAGUGGCGAACGGGAGAGUAAUGUAUCGGAACGUGACCAGUAGCGGGGGAUAACUACGCGAAAGCGUAGCUAAUACCGCAUACUAGUGGAGCGGCCGAUAGCGGAUUAGCUAGUUGGUGGGGUAACGGCUCACCAAGGCGACGAUCCGUAGCUGGUGUGAGAGGACGACCAGCCACACUGGAACUGAUACACGGCCCAGACUCCUACGGGAGGCAGCAGUGGGGAACUUUGGACAACUGGGCAAACCCGGAUACAGCCACCCCGCGUGUGUGAUGAAGGCCUUCGGGUUGUAAACCACCUGUGGCCGGAUAGCGGUGCCUGCAGAAUAGGCACCGGCUAACUACGUGCCAGCAGCCGCGGUAAUUC